ACAGUGCAUUCUGCUGUGCAGAACAGGAAGCACUGGAUCUCAGGAAGCCUGAAAGGGGAGGACACUGGACAGUGACAUCACAGGAUACCCCUCCCAUCAGGAAAAGCAAGGCUGAGAACUCAGCUUCUCCCCAGGAGGACCUAGCCCUGAGCACAGACACAGUGUUGCCUUCCCCUUCGUGCCAUGGGCUCCAGGCUGCUCUGUUGGAUGCUGCUUUGUCUCCUGGUAGCAGGCCUGGUAGAGGCUGAAGUCACACAAACUCCAAGACACCUGAUCAAAAUGAGAGGACAGCAAGUGACACUGAAGUGCUCCCCUGUCUCUGGGCAUAACAGUGUGUACUGGUACCAACAGGCCCCAGGACAGGGCCCUCAGUUCCUCUUUGAAUACUACAAUGCGAUAGAGAGACAAAAAGGAAACUUCCCUGAUCGAUUCUCAGGGCACCAGUUCUCUAACUCUACCUCUGAGAUGAAUGUGAACGCCUUGGAGCUGGGGGACUCGGCCCUUUAUCUUUGUGCCAGCAGCUUGGCACAGCCUUACAAAGCCAACCACAUUCUGUGCAUAAACCUCCCCGGCCCAAUGUGCAGCAGCAUCAGCCCUGUCAUAUCUGUGAGAACCUGGGACUGCAGGGGGAAAGACAGGUAAUUUAGGAUGCUAGGACGCACAGCCUGGGGCUUUCUGCUACUCAGGGCUGGGGGAAACAAGGCCAAGAGGGGCUGCUCAGAGGAUGAUGCUGCUUCUGUAGGUUGACUGCAGAAUUACUUUCUCUGCUGACAUGGUAAGCUACCGGGUAGAGGGCAUGUUUGUAAUUUAACAGCUGGUACACUCUUUUCCAGGACAAGGGAUCUCAUUUUGUGGUCAAGAUUGUUGAUAACAGCAUAGUGUAGAAGGGAGAAUCACAGGGUUUGCUUUAUACAACUGAGGGAAAAGAAAUUGAGAUUUGGGGAAAGUCAAGGAGAGAGAAAACGAAAGAUGACUGAAAAUAGAGAUAGAGCAGACGAUGAUGAAAAGUGGUGUUCUUUGUACCAUGAACUCUCUUUCCCCUCCUCCCAAAGUUUUCAAUACCUAUAAAAUAUAAGGUAAAGUUUUCUGGCAACUGGAAUCACCUGGUAGCCAGUCCCAGUAGGGGACAUCACCAAAGAGCCACUUGUCUGGUAUGAGAGCCCUGGUUCGUUUCUGAUGUCUUCCUUCUUCUGGCCUUAACCCUGACUCCAGGUACUUUCCAAAACAUAGAGGAAGGUAAAAUCACCCUUGUUCCUAAAGGAGCACACACUCUCCAGUUUCCCCCGAAAUAAAUUCUGCUUCUCUGGAUCCCUU